GGAGUACUUAGGUCAUGUCAGUAACAAACAUUACAAGUCCUCACAGAUGCAAGAAUAUGGAGGUUCUCCAGAAAAUAAAUAGCAUGAAGAGACGUAUGGCCAUAUAUAGUCAAGAUCACAGAGUGUGAGGCCAGUAGAGGAAGGAAUGGCAUCAGAGAAAAUACCAAGGCAAACUAGAAGGACGGAAGGGAGAGGAGACAACUGAACAAUUAAAUACUGCCUUUUUAGAGAUCCAGAACGACUAUUGCAGUGUGCUGGCAAGGUCGGCGUGGGGAGGCACAGAGCACAAAGACAACAUGCUUUGGAUAAUGCUGAA